rnacentral:rRNA from 1 species
AGUAAUGUAUGGGGAUCUGCCUGAUGGCGGGGGAUAACUACUGGAAACGGUAGCUAAUACCGCAUAAUGUCUGCGGACCAAAGCGGGGGACCUCCGGGCCUCGCGCCAUCAGAUGAACCCAUAUGGGAUUAGCUAGUAGGUAAGGUAACGGCUUACCUAGGCGACGAUCCCUAGCUGGUCUGAGAGGAUGAUCAGCCACACUGGAACUGAGACACGGUCCAG